AAUGAACGCUGGCGGCGUGCGUAACACAUGCAAGUCGAACGAGAAAGCGUCCUUCGGGGCGUGAGUAAAGUGGCGAACGGGUGAGUAACGCGUGGGUAACCUGCCCCUGAAUCUGGAAUAACUUCGCGAAAGCGAGGCUAAUACCGGAUAUUGUCCCGGGGACUGUGGUCCUUGUGAUGAAAGAUGACCUCUUCACGAAAGUUGUCGUUCAGGGAGGGGCCCGCGUACCAUUAGCUAGUUGGUAGGGUAAUGGCCUACCAAGGCAAUGAUGGUUAGCUGGUCUGAGAGGAGGACCAGCCACACGGGCACUGAAACACGGGCCAGACUCCUACGGGAGGCAGCAGUGAGGAAUUUUGCGCAAUAGGGGAAACCCUGACGCAGCAACGCCGCGUGAGUGAAGAAGGCCCUCGGGUCGUAAAGCUCUGUCAAGUGGGAAAAAAGCUUGUUGGUAAAUAGCCGGCAAGACUGAUGGUACCAUUGAAGGAAGCACCGGCUAACUCCGUGCCAGCAGCCGCCGUAACAC
rnacentral:rRNA from 1 species